GGGAAGGUGCGUAGUCAGGUGGUGAAAAUCAUAGAGGAGGAUUCACAUCUUGGAGAGGAUAUCCGAGAGGGUCUAAGUGCCAAGGAUAGGAUUGGCGCUGGAUUUUGUAAUGAUAAUCGAUCUGUGAGGAGGCCGGUGUUGGAUUUUGUUAUUUUGUCAAGGCCGAUCUUGCCUAGCUCGCCUCUGGGCGGCAAGACUUCCCCUUAAGGCCUUGCACUGAGAAUUUAUCUCCACCGCGGUUACAGUUGUUGCCUACUAUCAGACGAAGUGAGGGGAGAGGUCGAGUAGAGUUGCAGAGAGGCGUUGGCUUCUUUUCAAGUUUCUUUCUUUAGAAGUUUGCGAAUUAAGACCAUGAGACAGGGAGUUUCUUUGAGAAACCCCCAUCUUCUGUAGAGUCAAUAAAAACUAAUACGAGAUUGACAUGAAUAUCUUAGGCAAACUGGAAAAAAGCAAAUGAAUUUGAGUCAGAUGGGUACUGUAAUUAACUGCCAUAACCUAUCAUUUCAUA